rnacentral:lncRNA from 1 species
AUGAAGAUGUUUCUACUGUCUCUGCUACUUGUGAACGUUUCCCAGGCUGUGGUGGUGGAGGUGAAUGAGGGGGAAAUGUUUGUCCUAUUACCCUGCCAGUACUCAGGAGUUAUAUUUAAGAACCACACAGUGAUGUGGACUCGCAAUGAUCUUAAUCCCAAAACUGUCCACCGACAACGAGAAGGAGGAGAUGAUCUUAGAGAACAAAACCAGCGUUACAGCGAGCGCACAUCAAUGAGACCUGAUGCUCGGGACACUGGAGACUUCAGCCUCACUCUGAGAAAACCAACAGAGUCUCACAGUGGAAAAUACACCUGCUCCAUCACUGAUGGACAAGAAGAGCUGAUAGUGAGACACGUAUGGCUGCAAGUCAAAGGAUCUGUGUUCAUGGAGUGGUUUAUGAUAACUUUAUUCUGUGUUGUGGUCAUCCUUGUUUGCAUAGCUUAUGUCUACGGUGCUCUCAGGAAUGAAGCAUUACAACACGGAGCAGAGAAGUAAU